CUCUUAAUGGAAUUAGAACUCUCAAAAGUCACAGAACUAACUAGUUUUCUUUCUAUCAUGAAGGACAAGACAGGGUAGCCUUAAGUUUCCUGGAACUGAACUCUGUAGAACAAACUGGCCUCAAAAUCAGAGACUCAACUGCCUCUGCCUCCUAUCCAUGGAAUUAAAGGUGAAGAAACAGCAGCAUUGUGAUAACUUGAGAGAGCAGCAUACAGGUUUUUCAGGGAGCAACUGGAGGAGUAAACAACAACCUUUUUCUCUUUGUCAUCCAAAAUUAAUUGAGAAAAAAAAAACACACCAGAAUGAGACAGAAGUAUUGGUAAACUAAUUGGAGAGCACAGCCUCAUGUGUAUGACACCAGAAGUUGGCACCUCUCCACAACCCUAUUCUGUGGCCUCUCACUAGUCUGAAGGAUGACUUAGCCUCACCCUAGGGAAAAUUUGAUUCUAUAGUGCAGCCAGAACUGUUGUCUUGGGUUCAUCCAGGAUGUUUCAUUUCCUCAACAUCUUCAUAAUGACAAAUUUUGAGAUCUUUUUCUGAAAGGCAGAAGAAAACACUAGCUGUGUGGAUCUCCUCCACUGCUGAUAUGCAAAAGCAGCCUAGGAUCACUAGAUACUCAGACAGGGAAGAAGAUCAAAGCUGGGAGAAAACAUACAAACCACAAGGAAGUACAACAUACACGGAAGUACAGAACUGAAAGCAGGGGAAAAGUUCCCGAAGUUUCCUUAGAGAAAUAAGAAAAAAGUCACAGCCCAGAAAUAAUAUAAGGAUGCCUCAUGGAUAACUAACCAGAGAACCAUAAAAAUGAUAUUGAAUAUUAAAAAUUAAUAUUAAAAAUUUUAAAUUCAAAACAAGAGAGAGUUUGUGCAAAAAAUAUUUCAACAUUGCUGUAAAAUUAAAGAUUUUUAUUUAAAGGAAUUUUGAAGUUCAGUGUAGGUGUGUGGAAAUGUAAAUCAGAUGAAAUUUCCCAAAAGGAAAACACACAGGAGAACUGGGAAAGACAGAGGAAUGGAAAAAACGCAACUUGAGAGGGAGGAGUCUAUGCUAAUAAAUAUUCUACAAAGACAACAUGGUCCUCAGUGAUGGCAGGGAUGUGCCACAGACUCAAAAGCCAGUGUCAGUCACUAUCUGCAUGUGAUGACAACAGUUACUCCAAGGCCACUCUUGCAACAUUGCAGCAUCUUCUAAGUGAAGAAGAAAAAACUUUCCAUGGGAAAGAUUUUUUAAAAGAUGGCAAUUGUUUUCUCCAUUUGUAUUUUAAAAGGUUAUCAAUUUAAUAUCUACAAAAAGAAAAACAAGGGAAUUUCUAAUUCAAAAAAAAAAAAAGCUCAAUCUGAUGAACUCAGUCUUUGAACUCUAACAUGGCUCUGUAUAUUACAGAAUUUGACUAAUUGCCUUAAAACAAUGGACUACAUUUGGAUUCUGAUGCCAAGAAAUAAAAGUCCUUCUUCUUGAGCC